rnacentral:rRNA from 1 species
CCCUUAGAUGUUCUGGGCCGCACGCGCGCUACACUGAUGCAUUCAACGAGCCUAUCCUUGACCGACAGGUCCGGGUAAUCUUUGAAUCUGCAUCGUGACGGGGAUAGAUUAUUGCAAUUAUUAAUCUUCAACGAGGAAUGCCUAGUAGGCGCAAGUCAUCAGCUUGCGUCGAUUACGUCCCUGCCCUUUGUACACACCGCCCGUCGCUCCUACCGAUUGGGUGUGCUGGUGAAAUGUUCGGAUCGGCCGUUUGUCGCGGUUUCCGCGUCAUGUGGCUGAGAAGUUCAUUAAACCCUCCCACCUAGAGGAAGGAGAAGUCGUAGCA